AGACCAGCCCUGCCAGUGACAUAAUUAAACGGCCGCGGUACUCUGACCGUGCGAAGGUAGCAUAAUCACUUGUUCUUUAAUUGAGGACUAGCAUGAACGGCAUCACGAGGGCCUUACUGUCUCCCUUUUCCAAUCAGUGAAACUGAUCCCCCCGUGAAGAAGCGGGGAUUAUUAUAUAAGACGAGAAGACCCCAUGGAGCUUUAAACCCAACAGACAACCCUCAGCCCAUCACUCCCCCAAACUCUCAAUCCCCUGUCUGCUGGUUUUAGGUUGGGGUGACCGCGGAGUAAAACUUAUCCUCCACGACGUACGGGCUUUCCCCCCUUAUCCAUGAACCACCACUCUAAGAAUCAACAAAUUGACGUCAAGUGAUCCAAUUUUCUGAUCAACGAACCAAGUUACCCUGGGGAUAACAGCGCGAUCCAUUUUAAGAGCCCCUAUCGACAAAUGGGUUUACGACCUCGAUGUUGGAUCAGGGUACCCAAGUGGUGCAGCCGCUACUAAUGGUUU
rnacentral:rRNA from 1 species